UCUGCUAAGGAAUAUAGUGGUGCCCGUACCGCAAACCGACACAGGUAGACAGGUAGAGAAUACUAAGGCGCGCGAGAUAACUCUUGUUAAGGAACUCUGCAAAAUGAACCCGUAACUUCGGGAGAAGGGUUGCUCUCUAGCGUGAGUAUGAGCAAUACAGAGCGCAGGAGAGUCGCAGUGAAAAGGUCCAGGCGACUGUUUAGCAAAAGCACAGGUCAUUGCAAAAUCGCAAGAUGAAGUAUAAUGGCUGACGCCUGCCCGGUGCUGGAAGGUUAAGGGGAAGAGUGCAAGCUUUGAACCGAAGCCCCAGUAAACGGCGGCCGUAACAAUAACGGUCCUAAGGUAGCGAAAUUCCUUGUCGGGUAAGUUCCGACCCGCACGAAAGGCGAAACGAUCUGGACGCUGUCUCAACAAGGGACUCGGUGAAAUUGAAAUUCCGGUAAAGAUGCCGGAUACCUGCGAUAGGACAGAAAGACCCCAUGGAGCUUUACUGUAGCCUGAUAUUGGGUUUCGGAUAUUCAUGUACAGGAUAGGUGGGAGACUAAGAAGCAUGGACGCCAGUUUGUGCGGAGUCACUGGUGGGAUACCACCCUUAAAUGUUUGGAAUUCUAACAAGGAGUCUUGAAGCAGAUUAUUGGACAGUGUCAGGUGGGCAGUUUGACUGGGGCGGUCGCCUCCCAAAAGGUAACGGAGGCGCUCAAAGGUUCCCUCAGAACGAAUGGAAAUCGUUCGCAGAGUGCAAAGGCAGAAGGGAGCUUGACUGCGAGAGCCACAACUCGAGCAGAUAGGAAACUAGGACUUAGUGAUCCGGCGGUCGCGAGUGGAAGUGCCGUCGCUCAACGGAUAAAAGCUACCCUGGGGAUAACAGGCUUAUCUCCCCCAAGAGUUCACAUCGACGGGGAGGUUUGGCACCUCGAUGUCGGCUCAUCGCAUCCUGGGGCUGAAGUAGGUCCCAAGGGUUGGGCUGUUCGCCCAUUAAAGCGGUACGCGAGCUGGGUUCAGAACGUCGUGAGACAGUUCGGUCCCUAUCCAUCGCGGGCGUAGGAAAUUUGAAGGGAGCUGACCCUAGUACGAGAGGACCGGGUUGGACAGACCGCUGGUGAACCAGUUGUUCUGCCAAGAGCAUAGCUGGGUAGCUAAGUCUGGAAAAGAUAAACGCUGAAAGCAUCUAAGCGUGAAGCGAACCUUAAGAUGAGAUUUCCCACAACGAAAGUUGAUAAGACACCAGAGAGAAUAACUGGUAGAUAGGUCAGGAGUGUAAGUGUGGUGACACAUUGAGCGGACUGAUACUAAUAAGUCGAAGACUUAGCC
rnacentral:rRNA from 1 species